rnacentral:rRNA from 1 species
UACGAAUCGUCCAAACGUUGUUCGGAUUUACUGGGUUUAAAGGGCGCGUAGGCGGUGCGUUAAGUCGGCGGUGAAAUACUUCGGCUCAACCGGAGAAUUGCCGCUGAAACUGGCGUGCUCGAGGGAGGUAGAGGUGCGUGGAACUUCCGGUGGAGCGGUGAAUGCGUUGAUAUCGGAAGGAACACCUGUGGCGAAGCGAUGCACUGGACCUCUUCUGACGCUGAGUGCGCGAAGCCAGGAGCGAACGG